GACGAACGCUGGCGGCGUGCUUAACACAUGCAAGUCGAACGAAGUGGCGAACGGGUGAGUAAUACGUGAGUAACCUGCCCUCCUUUUUGGGAUCAGCCUUGGAAACGGGGUCUAAUACCGAAUAAAGGGGGAUGGGCUCGCGGCCUAUCAGCUUGUUGGGGGGGUGAUGGCCUACCACGGCGGUGACGGGUAGCCGGCCUGAGAGGGUGACCGGCAACAUUGGGACUGGGGGACGGGCCAGACGACGACGGGAGGGAGCAGUGGGGGAGAUUGGACAAUGGGCGAAAGCCUGAUGCAGCGGCGCCGCGUGGGGGAUGAAGGCUUUCGGGUUGUAAACCUCUUUCGCUAUCGAAGGGGUAGGUGGAGAAGAAGCGCCGGCUAACUACGUGCCAGCAGCCGCGGUAAUUC
rnacentral:rRNA from 1 species